UUCAUGAGUGGGAAACAGCUCUCUAGGCUGCUAGUUCAACUUUCAUGAUGAUUUAAAAAGCAAACAAAUGUUCCUGGCAAGAAAAAUUGGCACCAUACGAAAUAAAAGGAGUACUGAAAAUGAGAAAGGAACAGGAACUAUGUGAGACAGGAGUUAAAAACAAGGAUGGGCCUGGCUGGAGGGACACCAGAGGAGAAUCAGACCUGGAGAACAAGGUGCAGUGCAGCUUUCCGAAGGACAGAAUACGCAGAACUGGUGACGGCCUCUUCUCUUUCCACGAGCAGCUCUUCACCUGCUCGCAGUUGUGAAGCAGCCUGAGAUGAGGCUAAUCCUGGCAGUUACCGUUCAGAGGUACCCGACUCAGCGUAACAUUUGUGCCUGUCUGUGUUACCUGGUUGUUUUCGCAUGGCCAAUCGACACACCAAG